rnacentral:rRNA from 1 species
ACCAGACGAUGCGGUUACCGCGGCUGCUGGCACGGAGUUAGCCGGUGCUUCUUCUGUGAGUGAUGUCCUUCCUGCCGGCUAUUAACCCGCAGGCCUUCUUCCUCACUGAAAGUGCUUUACAACCCGAAGGCCUUCUUCACACACGCGGCAUGGCUGGAUCAGGGUUGCCCCCAUUGUCCAAUAUUCCCCACUGCUGCCUCCCGUAGGAGUCUGGGCCGUGUCUCAGUCCCAGUGUGGCUGAUCAUCCUCUCAGACCAGCUACGGAUCGUCGCCUUGGUGAGCCGUUACCUCACCAACCAGCUAAUCCGACAUAGGCUCAUCCGAUAGCGAGAGGCCCGAAGGUCCCCCGCUUUCCCCCGUAGGGCGUAUGCGGUAUUAGCCUGGGUUUCCCCAGGUUAUCCCCACUACCGGGCAGAUUCCUAUGCAUUACUCACCCGUCCGCCGCUCGCCACCAGGGAGCAAGCUCCCCGUGCUGCCGCUCGACUUGCAUGUCGUUAGGCCUGCCGCCAGCGUUCAAU